rnacentral:piRNA from 1 species
UACAUUCACAAUAUGUUAGAACUGGCAGAA